rnacentral:piRNA from 1 species
UUUAGGUCAAGUUCAAACUGUAUUCAGGUA